GACAGAGGGUGCAAACGUUGUUCGGAAUUACUGGGCGUAAAGCGCGUGUAGGCGGUUCGGUAAGUCAGGUGUGAAAGCCCUGGGCUCAACCAAGGAAGUGCAUCCGAAACUGCUGAGCUUGAGUACUUAAGAGGAUCGCGGAAUUCCCGGUGUAGAGGUGAAAUUCGUAGAUAUCGGGAGGAACACCAGUGGCGAAGGCGGCGAUCUGGGAAGAUACUGACGCUGAGGUGCGAAAGCGUGGGGAGCAAACAGG
rnacentral:rRNA from 1 species